rnacentral:rRNA from 1 species
GCCUACGGGGCGCAGCAGUAGGGAAUCUUCCACAAUGGGCGAAAGCCUGAUGGAGCAACGCCGCGUGGGUGAAGAAGGUCUUCGGAUCGUAAAACCCUGUUGUUAGAGAAGAAAGUGCGUGAGAGUAACUGUUCACGUUUCGACGGUAUCUAACCAGAAAGCCACGGCUAACUACGUGCCAGCAGCCGCGGUAAUACGUAGGUGGCAAGCGUUAUCUGGAUUUAUUGGGCGUAAAGGGAACGCAGGCGGUCUUUUAAGUCUGAUGUGAAAGCCUUCGGCUUAACCGGAGUAGUGCAGUGGAAACU